UAUUGGACAAUGGGCGAAAGCCUGAACCAGCCAUGCCGCGUGUGUGAAGAAGGUCAUCGGAAUAUAACAAACUUUAAUUUGAGAGGAAGGGCAGUUAACGAAUACUUAACUGUAUUGACGUUACCAAAAGAAUAAGCACCGGCUAACUUCCAGCCAGCAGCCGCGGUAAUACGAAGGGAGCAAGCGUUAAUCGGAAUUACUGGGCGUAAAGCGCGCGUAGGUGGUUCGUUAAGUUGGAAGUGAAAGCCCCGGGCUCAACCUGGGAAUUGCUUUCAAAACUGGCGAGCUAGAGUACGGUAGAGGGUGGUGGAAUUUCCUGUGUAGCGGUGAAAUGCGUAGAUAUAGGAAGAAACAUCAGUGGCGAAGGCGACCACCUGGACUGAUACUGACACUGAGGUGCGAAAGCGUGGGGAGCAAACAGG
rnacentral:rRNA from 1 species